rnacentral:antisense_RNA from 1 species
GGGGUUGCUUGCUGGCUGAAAGGAAGGAGAAUCAAAUUUGGAAAUAUCUGAAAGGAAAUCCAGAUAUAGGCUAUUAAUAGACGAGAGGUGAAGCUAGGCUAUAUCAGCUGCUGAGGUAAUUAUCCAGUUGAUAUUUAUCUUGUUCCAGUCACCUUAAGAAAGCUGUUUGGUUUUGGAAAUCACUAGUGGGUAAAAAAGACCAAUUUGCAACUAGGCUCUCAUGCUCUAUUGAAAACUAUGUCACAAUAUCACAAUACUAGAUGCUGGGCUCAAGAGAGCAAACAGAAAGCAGCAAGGGCAGUGACUGGAAGCUGGGAGAGAGGGUCAACAGCUGAAUCUC